CCUACAUGAAGCUGGAAUUGCUAGUAAUCACAGGUCAGCAUACUGUGGUGAAUACGUUCUCGGGCCUUGUACACACCGCCCGUCACACCAUGAGAGUUGAGAAUACCCGAAGCCCAUGUCAAAGUGGUCGAAGGUAGGCUUGAUGAUUGGGGUGAAGUCGUAACAAGGUAUC
rnacentral:rRNA from 1 species